UACAGAGGGUGCGAGCGUUGUCCGGAAUCACUGGGCGUAAAGGGCGCGUAGGUGGCGCCCCAAGUCGAUGGUGAAAGCUCGCCGCUCAACGGCGAGUCGGCCACCGAUACUGGGGGGCUUGAGCACUGUAGAGGCAGAUGGAAUUCCGGGUGUAGCGGUGGAAUGCGUAGAGAUCCGGAAGAACACCGGUGGCAAAGGCGGUCUGCUGGGCAGUUGCUGACACUGAGGCGCGACAGCGUGGGGAGCAAACAGG
rnacentral:rRNA from 1 species